rnacentral:misc_RNA from 1 species
UCCGGUUUGUCACCGGCAGUCUCCUAUGAGUCCCCAACUGAAUGCUGGCAACAUAGGACGGGGGUUGCGCUCGUUGCGGGACUCAACCCAACAUCUCACGACACGAGCUGACGACAGCCAUGCACCACCUGUAUUCCUGCCCCGAAGGGAGGACGUGUUUCCACGCCGGUCAGGAGUAUGUCAAGUCCAGGUAAGGUUCUUCGCGUUGCGUCGAAUUAAUCCACAUGCUCCGCUGCUUGUGCGGGUCCCCGUCAAUUCCUUUGAGUUUUAGCCUUGCGGCCGUACUCCCCAGGCGGGACACUUAACGCGUUAGCUACGACACGGAGGGAGUCGACACCCCCCACAUCUAGUGUCCAUCGUUUACGGCGUGGACUAC